AGAGUUUGAUCCUGGCUCAGGAUGAACGCUGGCGGCGUGCCUAACACAUGCAAGUCGAACGGGUGUACAGAAGGGAAGAUUUCGGUCGGAAGAUCUGUGCAUGAGUGGCGGACGGGUGAGUAACGCGUGGGCAACCUGGGCCUGUACAGGGGGAUAACACUUAGAAAUAGGUGCUAAUACCGCAUAACGGGGGAAGCCGCAUGGCUUUUUCCUGAAAACUCCGGUGGUACAGGAUGGGCCCGCGUCUGAUUAGCCAGUUGGCAGGGUAACGGCCUACCAAAGCGACGAUCAGUAGCCGGCCUGAGAGGGCGGACGGCCACACUGGGACUGAGACACGGCCCAGACUCCUACGGGAGGCAGCAGUGGGGGAUAUUGCACAAUGGGGGAAACCCUGAUGCAGCGACGCCGCGUGGGUGAAGAAGCGCCUCGGCGCGUAAAGCCCUGUCAGUAGGGAAGAAAAUGACGGUACCUGAAGAAGAAGCCCCGGCUAACUACGUG
rnacentral:rRNA from 1 species